AUUGAACGCUGGCGGUAGGCCUAACACAUGCAAGUCGAACGCGAAAGUCCUUCGGGAUGAGUAGAGUGGCGGACGGGUGAGUAACGCGUAGGAAUCUAUCCUGUAGUGGGGGAUAACGUGUCGAAAGGAACGCUAAUACCGCAUACGCCCCAAGGGGGAAAGCGGGGGAUCUUCGGACCUCGUGCUAUAGGAGGAGCCGGGGUCGGAUUAGCUAGUUGGUGAGGUAAAGGCUCACCAAGGCGACGAUCCGUAGCUGGUCUGAGAGGAUGAUCAGCAACACCGGAACUGAGACACGGUCCGGACUCCUACGGGAGGCAGCAGUGGGGAAUAUUGCGCAAUGGGCGAAAGCCUGACGCAGCCAUACCGCGUGUGUGAAGAAGGCCUUCGGGUUGUAAAGCACUUUCAGUGGGGAGGAAAAGCUGGUGGCUAAUAUCCAUCGGCCGUGACGCUACCCACAGAAGAAGCACCGGCUAAUUCCGUGCCAGCCGCCGCUGUAACAC
rnacentral:rRNA from 1 species